UACGAAGGGGGCUAGCGUUGCUCGGAAUUACUGGGCGUAAAGCGCGCGUAGGCGGCUUUGUAAGUUAGAGGUGAAAGCCCGGAGCUUAACUCCGGAACUGCCUUUAAGACUGCAUCGCUAGAAUUGUGGAGAGGUGAGUGGAAUUCCAGGUGUAGCGGUGAAAUGCGUAGAGAUCUGGAGGAACACCGAUGGCGAAGGCAGCCUUCUGGGCCAACACUGACGCUCAUGCACGAAAGCGUGGGGAGCAAACAGG
rnacentral:rRNA from 1 species